CUCCUAAAUGUUCUGGGCCACACGCGCACUACACUGACAGAGUGAGCGAGUUUGAUCUCGCUUGUGCGAGCCUGCCUCGAAGGAGGUGGGAAAUCUUGGAAAACUCUGUCGUGAUUGGGAUCGAAGAUUGCAAUUAUUCUUCUUGAACGAGGAAUACCUAGUAGGCGCAGGUCAUCAGCCUGCACUGAUUACGUCCCUGCCAUUUGUACACACCGCCCGUCGUUGCUACCGAUUGGGUGCAAGAUAGAGUUUGUUGGAUUGGUCCACGCGGGCUCGCCCACGAUGCAUCAGGAAUUCAAGCAAUGUUUUACAUCUAGAGGAAGCAAAAGUCGUAACA
rnacentral:rRNA from 1 species